ACGCUCGACACCUACGGGGAGGCAGCAGUGGGGAAUAUUGCACAAUGGGGGAAACCCUGAUGCAGCGACGCCGCGUGAGCGAAGAAGUAUUUCGGUAUGUAAAGCUCUAUCAGCAGGGAAGAAACUGACGGUACCUGACUAAGAAGCACCGGCUAAAUACGUGCCAACAGCCGCGGUAAUCUGAGGCGGGCUGGCAAGGC
rnacentral:rRNA from 1 species